rnacentral:rRNA from 1 species
CCUACGGGAGGCAGCAGUGAGGAAUAUUGGUCAAUGGGCGCGAGCCUGAACCAGCCAAGUAGCGUGAAGGAUGACUGCCCUACGGGUUGUAAACUUCUUUUAUAAAGGAAUAAAGUGAGGCAUGUGUGCCUUUUAGUAUGUACCUAAUGAAUAAGGAUCGGCGAACUCCGUGCCAGCAGCCGCGGUAAUACGGAGGAUACGAGCGUUAUCCGGAUUUAUUGGGUUUAAAGGGAGCGUAGAUGGGUUGUUAAGUCAGUUGUGAAAGUUUGCGGCUCAACCGUAAAAUUGCAAUUGAUACUGGCAGUCUGGAGUACAGGUGAGGUAGGCGGAAUUCGUGGUGUAGCGGUGAAAUGCGUAGAUAUCACGAAGAACUCCGAUUGCGAAGGCAGCUUACUAAACUGCCACUGACAUUGAUGCGCGAAAGUGUGGGUAUCAAACAGGAUUAGAUACCCCUGUAGUC